UACAGAGGGUGCGAGCGUUUGUCCGGAAUCACUGGGCGUAAAGGGCGCGUAGGUGGGUGAUUAAGUUGUAGGUGAAAUCCCUGGGCUCAACCUAGGAAUUGCCUAUGAGACUGAUUGUCUAGAGUGAGAGAGAGGGAAGUGGAAUUUCCGGUGUAGCGGUGAAAUGCGUAGAUAUCGGAAGGAACAUCAGUGGCGAAGGCGACUUCCUGGCUCUUUACUGACACUGAGGCGCGAAAAGCGUGGGGAGCGAACAGG
rnacentral:rRNA from 1 species